UCCUGUUGCGGGGCAGCAGCAACACAUAGCUCAGCAAUUCUUCCCUCACCCUGUCAGGCUCACCUCACCUUGCAGAGCCUUGAAAUUGAAGAAGACACUUUCCAUCUAGAGGAAGACCUCAAACAUGCUUCUCUCCAGCCUUCUGAAGGUGGUCAUGGCUUCACUGUGGCUAGGAUCCAGUAUUGCCCAGAAGGUAACUCAAGACCAACCAGUAAUAUUAGUGCAGGAGAAGGAGGUUGUGACCCUGGAUUGCAUAUAUGACACAAAUGAGUUCACUUAUAGUCUAUACUGGUACAAGCAGCCCAGCAGUGGGGCGAUGAUUCUCCUUAUUCGUCAGGACUCUUAUAACCAGCAAAAUGCAACAGAAGGUCGCUACUCACUGAAUUUCCAGAAGGCAAACAAAUCCAUCAAACUUGCCAUCUCAGCUUCACAGCUGGAGGACUCUGCAG